AUGCACGCUGGCGGCGUGCCUCAUCCCUGCCAGUCGAGCGAACAGACGAGGAGCUUGCUCCUCUGACGUUAGCGGCGGACGGGUGAGUAACACGUGGAUAACCUACCUAUAAGACUGGGAUAACUUCGGGAAACCGGAGCUAAUACCGGAUAAUAUAUUGAACCGCAUGGUUCAAUAGUGAAAGACGGUUUUGCUGUCACUUAUAGAUGGAUCCGCGCCGCAUUAGCUAGUUGGUAAGGUAACGGCUUACCAAGGCAACGAUGCGUAGCCGACCUGAGAGGGUGAUCGGCCACACUGGAACUGAGACACGGUCCAGACUCCUACGGGAGGCAGCAGUAGGGAAUCUUCCGCAAUGGGCGAAAGCUUGACGGAGCAACGCCGCGUGAGUGAUGAAGGUCUUCGGAUCGUAAAACUCUGUUAUUAGGGAAGAACAAAUGUGUAAGUAACUAUGCACGUCUUGACGGUACCUAAUCAGAAAGCCACGGCUAACUACGUG
rnacentral:rRNA from 1 species